UCAAAGUUUAAUCCCCUGUAGUCAAUAGAGCUGUCAAGAAAUCUCUCUGGAGUAAAGCUCUCAGGCUUAGUCCAGUAACUUGGAUCUGUAGCAAUUGCCCAUGCAUUGAUAACUACCUUGGUUUUGACAGCUUGGUUGAUCAUCACUUCCUAUGUUUGGUGUUUUAUGAAUGAUUUUGUGAAGUAUAAAUGGUCAGGCUAAGUUGAUGCUUUCGUGCAAAGGGAACAGAUUGACUACAAUGAGAAAAUCUCCCAACCUUUUUGCUGUAUUUGAUAUUGCAAGACAGACAUCCUCUGGAGAUGUAGUAAGUACAUGUUACCUGAAGUAGCAUCAGGUAUUGUAAACACCUAGCAAGUGGUUAGGGAAAACUCAAGCCCACCGCCAUGUUCAUGAAACUUUAGGAGAACAUCUAGAAGAUCUUCCUCUGCUUCACCUUCGAGAACUUUUGUUGAUGUCUUAUCUUCCUUGUGCUCAUUAAUGAUGUUCUCCAUUAUCCUGUCAGCUUCUUUAUGCAGCCUCUCGAGUUUGGGCUUCAUCCCACUUAGCAGAUGAAGCAAUUUGACUGAAGGAAAAACAUCUGCUAAAUUAAAGCCGCUCGCCAGCUUCAUAGAUUCCUUCACACAGUGUAUGAAGUUUUCAAGAUCUUUGCUUCUUUUACCAAAGGCUGCUCGGUACGAGAUGCUAUAUGUUGAUGAGUAAAUUUCACUGAUCGGUAGCUUUGAACACGCAUUUUGCUCAAAAGCUCAUGUGCGUAAAUCUUUCUUAGCUGUCUCCAGUAAUCACCAUAUGGUGCAAACGAAACGCUUGUACAACCGUAAGUCAUAAUAGCUGUAGCAACGAUCUGCGGCCU